rnacentral:rRNA from 1 species
CUCCCAGACUCCUACGGGAGGCAGCAGUAGGGAAUCUUCCACAAUGGGCGCAAGCCUGAUGGCGCAACACCGCGUGAGUGAAGAAGGGUUUUGGCUCGUAAAGCUCUGUUGUUGGAGAAGAACGUGCGUGGGAGUAACUGUUCACGCAGUGACGGUAUCCAACCAGAAAGUCACGGCUAACUACGUGCCCGCAGCCGCGGUCAUACGUAGGUGGCAAGCGUUAUCCGGAUUUAUUGGGCGUAAAGCGAGCGCAGGCGGUGGCUUAGGUCUGAUGUGAAAGCCUUCGGCUUAACCGAAGAAGUGCGUCGGAAACCGGGCAACUUGAGUGCAGAAGAGGACAGUGGAACUCCAUGUGGAGCGGUGGAAUGCGUAGAUAUAUGGAAGAACACCAGUGGCGAAGGCGGCUGUCCGGUCUGCAACUGACGCUGAGGCUCGAAAGCAUGGGUAGCGAACAGGAUUAGAUACCCCUGUACG